GACGAACGCUGGCGGCGUGCCUAAUACAUGCAAGUUGAGCGCUGAAGGUUGGUACUUGUACCCACUGGAUGAGCAGCGAACGGGUGAGUAACGCGUGGGGAAUCUGCCUUUGAGCGGGGGACAACAUUUGGAAACGAAUGCUAAUACCGCAUAAAAACUUUAAACACAAGUUUUAAGUUUGAAAGAUGCAAUUGCAUCACUCAAAGAUGAUCCCGCGUUGUAUUAGCUAGUUGGUGAGGUAAAGGCUCACCAAGGCGAUGAUACAUAGCCGACCUGAGAGGGUGAUCGGCCACAUUGGGACUGAGACACGGCCCAAACUCCUACGGGAGGCAGCAGUAGAGAAUCUUCGGCAAUAGACGAAAGUCUGACCGAGCAACGCCGCGUGAGUGAAGAAGGUUUUCGGAUCGUAAAACUCUGUUGGUAGAGAAGAACGUUGGUGAGAGUGGAAAGCUCAUCAAGUGACGGUAACUACCCAGAAAGGGACGGCUAACUACGUG
rnacentral:rRNA from 1 species